rnacentral:rRNA from 1 species
AACGAACGCUGGCGGCGUGGAUAAGGCAUGCAAGUCGAACGCGAAAACCGGCCUUCGGGUUGGUGAGUAGAGUGGCAAACGGGUGAGUAACACGUGGGCAACUUACCCCUGAGUGGGGGAUAACCCCUGGAAACAGGAGCUAAUACCGCAUAGCUUCCUUGAGAGGCAUCUCUUAAGGAAUAAAGGUGGGGAUCCGCAAGGACCUGCCGCUCUGGGAUAGGCCCGCGCCUGAUUAGCUAGUUGGUGAGGUAACGGCCCACCAAGGCGACGAUCAGUAGCUGGUCUGAGAGGAUGGUCAGCCACACUGGGAUUGAGAUACGGCCCAGACUCCUACGGGAGGCAG